CAGUGAAGAUCUUCGUCAUGAGUGUCGGGAGCCAGAGCCCCUUUACAUUAAAGAGGAAGUGGAGGAUGAAGAGCACCCCCACAUCAAAGAAGAAGAGGAAUUGAAGCUCACUUUCAUUAAAAAAGAGGCUGAAGAAGUGCACCGCCACAUCAAACAGAAAGAGGAGUGUAUCGCCAAGUUUCCAUGGACGAGUGUCCCUUUGAAGAGUGAAGAUGAAGGUCGACGUGAGGAGAGCAGAAGCAGCUCACGUCGACACAUGACAACAGAAGGUGAUGGAGACCACUGUGGAGGAUCACAGGCAGACGGCCUCUUAGCUACACAAUUAGAUAGUGACGGCAUGACGUCUCACUCUCCUCACACUGAUGAUGAUGAUGAUAAACCGUCUGAAGGUGAUAACAAACGCUGGAAAUGUUCUCAGUGUGGGAAAACAUUUGCUUAUAAGAGCAGUUUGAAACAACACACGAGAACACACACCGGAGAGAAAGCUUUUGCCUGUUCAGAUUGUGGUAAAAGAUUCUCCUAUAAGGGAGACUUGACAAGGCACACAAGAACGCACACUGGAGAAAAACCUUUUGUCUGCUCAGUUUGUGGUCAAAGAUUCUCUGAGAACGGAAAAUUAACAGUACACGCAAGAAGACACACUGGAGAAAAAACGUUUGCUUGCUCAGUUUGUGGUCAAAAAUUCUCUGCAAAGGGCAAAUUAACAAUACACACAAGAACCCACACCGGAGACAAACCUUUUUCCUGCUCAGAUUGUGGUCAGAGAUUCACUCAGAAAGGAACCUUAAAAAUACACAAGAAUGCACACUGGAGAGAAACUUUUUUCCUGCUCAGAUUGCGGUCAGAGAUUCACUCAGAAGGGAGCCUUAAAAUUACACAAAAGAAUCCACACUGGAGACAAACCUUUUUCCUGCUCAGUUUGUGGUCAAAGAUUCUCUCGUAAGGAUCGCCUGAAGACACACAAGUGUGCUGUUGUCAUUUUGGAGGUUGGAAAAUUCCACCUGACAACGACAAUAGUGUUCCCUCGUUUAUCGAGAGGGAUAGGUUCCGGAACCCGCUGAUCUCCACUUCUGCCACUGACGUCACACCAAGACAUGUAGGGUGAGGUAAUGAAGGUAAUGAAAAGGGGACUUCCAGUUUCAUUUUCUUGAGCAAAAAACCCAAAGACAACUUGUACUGUAAGCGAAUUAUGGACCAUCUAGAUCAGUGAUUCCCAACCAGCGUGCCGUUGCACAUUCGUGUGCCGCGGGAAAUAAUCAAAUUUCAUUUAAUUGGUCAAAAUAUUAUUUAUUUACAACAAAUAAUGUAUCUUUGUUCAUCCAUCUAUGCCAGCGGCAUAUGGAGACAGACAGACAGAGCAAAUAAAUGCUCUUCUAUUAGAUGUCAGAAAGGGUAUAAUUGACUCGUGUAUCCAUUUUUGGUGACAUUUUUGUUUGUUGGUGUGCCGUGAGAUUUUCAAAUGUAAAAUACGUGUGCCUUGACUCAAUAAAGGUUGGGAAUCACUGAUCUUGACGAGUGAUUCUCAGCUGCUGGGUCAGAACCCAAAAGUGGCUCACGGAGCCAUUCUGAGUGGGUAAUGGACAGGUAAAAAUGUAUAGCAUAAUUCAGACUGUUAAAACUGUUACAGUUGCUUUAGACUGCAGCCUUCAUUUCCGAAAAAGACAAAAUAUUGAUGUGGCUCUUUCCUAAAAAGAAGAGAUGAGUACCAAAAUAGACUUUUGUACAUGGUUUUGUUCAUCGUUUCUUAAGGUGCUCUGAAAGGCACUUUAAACAUGUAAGCGUGAGUAGUUAUGUUUAAAAAUGGGAUAUUUUUUCAAAGGUUAUUUUUGAACCAUACAUGUUCUUUAUUGUUCCUAACUGUUGUGAUAGUGGGUCGCGACUUAACAACAAUAGAAAAAUACGGUCCCAGGGUGACAACACUUGAAAACCAUUAAUCUAGAUCCCGUCAUAGGUCCUUUAAAAUUUUAAUCCCCGUUUCAGUUCUCUGGAUUUUUUAAGACGUGGCUAAAACCACGCCCAAGUCCGCACCAAUCGCCGCGAUUGUGAUUUACUUCGUAAUAUUAACUUUUUUACGACUACAGUGUGCUGUUAACUAGCAAGCUGUGCCUACAACAUGAAAAAGUACAUCUUCCUGAAUUUUCUCCUGUUAUUUGGGCUACAGUGUCUGCCGUGUGCACCCACGCGUGGUGCACGGACCGAGGCAUCGGCUAACCGCUCUGCUACCCCCGGGCCAGCACACCAGUGACGGGGCCGUCCAACUCCACAAAGCCGCACAAAUAUUGGGAACAAAUGAUAUUCGACCCAUGUGUGUUUGUCUUCUUGUGUCUUGCAGACGUGGUGGAAAAUCUUUGUCCAGAGCCGCAGGAGUCAGAGUCCCCCCACAUUAAAGAGGAAGAGGAGGAUGGAGAGGUUCAACAAAUCAAAGAGGAGGAGGAAGAGUUCGUACACAUUAAAGAGGAAGAGCUGGAGGAAAUCAUCAAGGUUCCUUUGACUGGGGUCCUUUUGAAGAGUGAAUAUCAAGGUCAAAGUGAGGAAAACCGAGGGGUGGAGCCUCCCAGCAGCAGCUCAAGUCGACGCAUGACAACAGAAGGUGACGGAGACCACUGUGGAGAAUCACUAGCAGGGGGACUCUUAGCUCCGCUAUCAGAUAGCGACGAGACAACGUCACACUCUUCUGACUAUGAUGAUGGUGAUGAUAAAGAACAGUCGGAACGUCAUAUGACAUGUCACACUGAUCUCAAAUGCUGGAAAUGUUCUAAGUGUGGGAGAACUUUUGCUUCAAAGAGCAAUUUGAAACAGCACAUCAAAUUACACACUGGAGAGAAGCCUUUUGCCUGUUCCGACUGUGGUAAAAGAUUCACUGUAAAGGGUAAGUUGAUAUCACACUCAAGAACCCACACUGGAGAGAAACCUUUUGCCUGCUCCGUUUGUGGUCAAAGAUUCUCUCAGAAGGGUACCUUAAAAAGUCAUACAAGAACACACACUGGGAGAAACCUUUUUGCUGCUCAGUCUGUGGUCAAAGAUUCUCUGAAAAGGGACACUUAAAAAGUCAUACAAGAACCCACACUGGGGAGAAACCAUUCACCUGCUUAAUUUGUGGUCAAAGAUUCUCUGAGACGGAACCUUAAAACGUCACAGAAGAACACACACCGGGGAGAAACCUUUUGCCUGUUUAGUUUGUGACCAAAGAUUCUCUGAGAAGGGAACCUUAAAACGUCACACAAGAACCCACACUGGGGAGAAACCUUUUUCCUGCUCAGUUUGUGGCAAAGGAUUCGCUCAGAAGGGAAACUUCAAAAGUCACACAAGAACACACACUCGAAAGGAACCCUUCGUUUGCUCCGUUUGUGGCCUAAGAUUCUCUCAUAAGUAUCUGGCUCAGAAUCACAAGUGUGUUGAUGACAAUAGCAGUGAUCAAUGAAGGUUCUGCCUCUCAUCUGAGCAGGCUUCGUAAUUUCAUGCACCAAGGAUGAUCGUAUUCUAAUGUACCUUCUUAAAGGCCUCCAGUGGAAAAGUGUUGCAAAUUAGCACUCAUGCUAAAACACGUAGCAAUAUAUCUGCUUUAUCUAAUGUUUUUGUGCUGUGCAUAUCAAAUAAUGAAACGAUUUAUUCCAAUAGA